rnacentral:rRNA from 1 species
UACGGAGGGUGCAAACGUUGCUCGGAAUCAUUGGGCGUAAAGCGCACGUAGGCGGCUUUGUAAGUCGGAUGUGAAAUCCCUCGGCUUAACCAAGGAAGUGCAUCCGAAACUACAGAGCUUGAGUACUUAAGAGGAUCGCGGAAUUCCCGGUGUAGCAGUGAAAUGCGUAGAGAUCGGGAGGAACACCAGUGGCGAAGGCGGCUACCUGGACCAGCAUUGACACUCAAGCACGAAAGCGUGGGGAGCAAACAGG